rnacentral:pre_miRNA from 1 species
GUAAUACUCCCUCUGUCCAGAAAUACUUGUCAUUGAAAUGGAUGUAUCUAGAUGUAUUUUAGUUCCAGAUACAUUCAUUUUCAUCCAUUUUGAUGACAAGUAAUUCUGGACGGAGGGAGUAUUAG